rnacentral:rRNA from 1 species
GAGUUAUCUGAACCUUCGGGGAACGAUAACGGCGUCGAGCGGCGGACGGGUGAGUAAUGCCUAGGAAAUUGCCCUGAUGUGGGGGAUAACCAUUGGAAACGAUGGCUAAUACCGCAUGAUGCCUACGGGCCAAAGAGGGGGACCUUCGGGCCUCUCGCGUCAGGAUAUGCCUAGGUGGGAUUAGCUAGUUGGUGAGGUAAGGGCUCACCAAGGCGACGAUCCCUAGCUGGUCUGAGAGGAUGAUCAGCCACACUGGAACUGAGACACGGUCCAGACUCCUACGGGAGGCAGCAGUGGGGAAUAUUGCACAAUGGGCGCAAGCCUGAUGCAGCCAUGCCGCGUGUGUGAAGAAGGCCUUCGGGUUGUAAAGCACUUUCAGUCGUGAGGAAGGUGGUGUAGUUAAUAGCUGCAUUAUUUGACGUUAGCGACAGAAGAAGCACCGGCUAACUCCGUGCCAGCAGCCGCGGUAAUACGGAGGGUGCGAGCGUUAAUCGGAAUUACUGGGCGUAAAGCGCAUGCAGGUGGUUUGUUAAGUCAGAUGUGAAAGCCCGGGGCUCAACCUCGGAAUAGCAUUUGAAACUGGCAGACUAGAGUACUGUAGAGGGGGGUAGAAUUUCAGGUGUAGCGGUGAAAUGCGUAG